UACGAAGGGGGCUAGCGUUGCUCGGAAUCACUGGGCGUAAAGGGCGCGUAGGCGGCCGUCCAAGUCGGGUGUGAAAUCCCUCGGCUCAACCGAGGAACUGCACUCGAUACUGGUCGGCUAGAGUCCGGGAGGGGAUGGUGGAAUUCCCAGUGUAGCGGUGAAAUGCGUAGAUAUUGGGAAGAACACCGGUGGCGAAGGCGGCCAUCUGGACCGGAACUGACGCUGAGGCGCGAAAGCCAGGGGAGCGAAUGGG
rnacentral:rRNA from 1 species